rnacentral:rRNA from 1 species
UACGAAGGGGGCUAGCGUUGCUCGGAAUGACUGGGCGUAAAGGGCGCGUAGGCGGCUUGCACAGUCAGGCGUGAAAUUCCUGGGCUCAACCUGGGGACUGCGCUUGAGACGUGUGGGCUUGAGUGGGGAAGAGGGUCGUGGAAUUCCCAGUGUAGAGGUGAAAUUCGUAGAUAUUGGGAAGAACACCGGUGGCGAAGGCGGCGACCUGGUCCUUGACUGACGCUGUGGCGCGAAAGCUAGGGGAGCAAACGGG